rnacentral:lncRNA from 1 species
UAGCAAACAACAAAAACUCCAUUCAGAUUAUGGAAGAGUGCAGGAGAAUUUUUCUUUGUUAUUUUUAUACAGCCACACGUCAACUCUGACCGAAUAGAUUUACGCUGAAACACAUUCAUGCUAUGACUAACCUGUCGUUUUGGCUGUAUAUAGAACACUUUAUCUAACAUAUCCUUCUUUUCAUAGAGACAUGUCGGUAUAAAAUCUGGCUUACAUAGCACUUGAGUAUUAACGAAUGAAACUAUAACCACCAUCAUUCCAGUCGUGAUCACCCAAUGCUUUCAUCCAGAUAUUGUUCCUAAGAUUAAACCCAAUAUAACCUAAUAUUAUUGUCGAAUAUGGCAUGUAACUAAGAGUAGCAUAUGGCUGUUAUUUCACGGAAAUUUUGCUCUUAUUUUUCGCAGUAACAAUGCCAUUUUUGUUGACUACGUUUGUCAAUGUGGUUGAUGUGCUUGUGCCAGAAAAUAUCGUCUAUACGCGUCAGGUCACCCAUAAAAUUUGGAUAUGAUUUAAUAUUAUUUCAUUCAUUCAGCAUAGUUGAAUUUUCCUUUUUACCUGCGGGCUCUCAAUCGAAGAAAGUGUACUGAAAAUCAAUAAAUUUGUUCGAAGAUCGUAAAGAGGAGUGGAAAACGAAGGAUGAUUAUCUUUAAAGCAGUACACGAUAGGUGUACACGUUCAAGGAAAACAAAGUUUAAACAAGGGCAGCGAUUUGUUUACAUAAGGACGUAUUGAGGUUAUCAAUUCUAAGUACUCAUCAGUAGAAAAACAGGAUUGUAGUAUGCUUCGAUAUGGAAAUGUUAUUCACCGGGAAAUGUCAAGUUUUGUGUGGUGCCGUGUUUACAUACGACUUUCACUUUUUGAGAAGAUUUAUAUGAAUAUACUCAGAAAUGAAAAUACCAACUAAGCGACAACUAUAGCUGAAAUCGAGUUUGUGAAGGUUGAAUGAUGAAAGAAACGCAAAACUCUACUGCACCCAUAUGAAUAUAUUUAAAGGUCGCAGAUCAAAAGAUUUCUGCAAAACAAAUUGCGAACCCUGGAGAGACCAUUCUAGAUAUAUAUUCAAGUUUUUUAAU